GAAGAUGAAGUAGAGGAAGUGAUUGAGGAGGAGCAGGAUGGUGAGGACGAAGAUAUUCAUGAAGUUGAAGUAGAAGGUGAUGCCGAUGAUGAUGAGGAUCCUGGGCAGGAAGUGGAGCAUGCAGAUUUGGAUGAUGCAACCGAGCAUGAAGAGCGACAUGAAGUUGUCCAAGAGAGACGCAAGCGUAAAGAGUUUGAAGUGUUUGUUGGGGGCUUAGACAAGGAUGCUACCGAAGAUGAUAUCAGGAAAGUCUUCAACCAAGUGGGUGAAAUUGUUGAAGUUAGGUUGAUGAUGAACCCUCAAACAAAGAAGAACAAGGGCUUUGCUUUCUUGCGAUUUGCAACUAUAGAACAAGCAAAACGUGCAUAUACUGAACUUAGGAAUCCCGUGGUAAUUAUUCUGUUCUUCAAUAAUAUUACUUUUUUGAAUUUCAAAAUGGAUCAACUUUAAAACUUAACAAUUUUGUUCUAAUGACUGCAAUUCUAGAUUAAUGGAAAGCAGUGUGGUGUUACCCCAAGUCAAGACAGUGACACCCUUUUUCUGGGUAAUAUAUGCAAGACAUGGACAAAGGAAGCAGUAAGUACAUGGGAUUAUUUAAGGUCACUAGCAAGUGGGCCAUCUUUGUAAAUGGUUAUGAGUAGAUAACAUGUGUUUGUUAUUGACUUUUGUUCCAGUUGAAAGAGAAGUUGAAACAUUACGGAGUUGACAAUAUUGAGGACUUAACAUUGGUGGAAGACAGCAACAAUGAGGGAAUGAAUCGAGGCUUUGCAUUUUUGGAAUUUGCAUCCCGUUCAGAUGCGAUGGAUGCUUUUAAGCGUCUUCAACGGAGAGAUGUUUUAUUUGGGGUUGAUAGGCCUGCAAAGGUUUCUUUUGCAGAUUCCUUCAUCGAUCCAGGUGAUGAAAUCAUGGCACAGGUAAUUUACUAAAACAAAUUUUCUUCUAAUAUAAUUUGUGGUUGGGUUGCUAUGGUUUGGUCCCAAGCUCUCUUCCCUCACAAGCCUCUUGCCACUAAGCCAAGCGGUAGUUGGCUACAAAACAGUUUUUCUUUUUUGCUUUAGGUGGCAUGAACUACUGGGCUUGUUGGAAAUCAUAAAUGUAUCUUAUUAUGAGAGCUUGAUGAUUUUUUCUCCCAAGUUCAGGUUAGGACCAUAUUUAUUGAUUGCCUGCCUCCUUCAUGGGAUGAGGAUCGUGUUAGAGAGCUACUGAAGAAGUAUGGGGAGAUUGAAAAGAUUGAACUUGCCCGGAACAUGCCAUCUGCUGACAGGAAGGAUUAUGGUUUUGUCACAUUUGAUACUCAUGAUGCUGCUGUCACAUGUGCUAAGAGCAUUAAUAAUACCGAGUUGGGCGAAGGUGACAUCAAGGUUAGUCAAUGUUCUUGGUGUACCAUGUUGUUUACAUGACUUAACUAUUACCUUGUCUAAUGGUUAUUCUUUUAUUUCAGGCCAAAGUUAGAGCCAGGUUAUCGAGACCACAUCAAAGAGGCAGAAGUAAGAACGUCGGCCGUGAUAGUUUCAGGUCUGGGCGUGGAUCUGGACGAGUAGUUAGGGGUGCAUGGGGUCGUCCUGAUUCACGUGGUUUUGCUCCUCAUGGGAUGAGAGGAAUUAGUAGCCGUGCCCCUCCACCUAGUCUAAAGAGGCCUGUUGGACUGAGAGAUAGACGUCCUCUCAUGUCUGCACCAGCUAGAGGCAGGCCUUUAUCACCUCCCCCUUCUAGAUCCUAUGACAGAAGAGCCCCCGGUAUGGCUCUAUCCUGCUUCACGUCUACCUGAAUUCUUCGUUUUUCGAGAUUUAAAUUUCUUACUUCAAUCUUUUUUGACAGUUAUGCCAUAUCCAAAGGGUAGUUUAAAGAGGGAAUAUAGUCAACGCGAUGAGCUUCCUCCUCCAAGGAGCAGAGAAGUUAUGGAUUAUGGAUCUAGGGUUGUCCCUGAUAGACGAUCCACAUAUAGAGAAGAAUAUUCUUCUCGCAACCCGGGUUACUUUGAUUUGCCUAGAACCACAUCUCGUACUGCAGCGAGAAGACCCUAUGGAGAUGAUGCAUAUGCCCAAAGAUUUGAAAGACCUCCUCCUAGUUACCGUGAGGGGCGUGGCCGUGAUUAUGACACUAUAUCUGGCUCAAAAAGACCAUAUCCUGUUAUGGUUGGUCCCACAGUUCCUUCAAGUAAUUAUGUCAUCAUUGGCAUAUGAUUUAACAAUUUCCUAGCUGAUUAUGCCAUGUACUUGCUUGUUGAAUCAGGAUGAUGUCCCUCCACGAUAUGCUGAUGAUGGUCCGAUGCAUUCAAGGGCUCGUCUAGACUACGAAUUUGCUGGUGGUGCUCCUCCAUAUGUGGAUGCAUAUGGUGAUAGGUUUGUUAUUUAGGAGCUUUCUGGUGUUUAUUCUCUUUGUUCUGGAGCUUUAGUUAUCUUUUGUCUUAUUUUGAUAGGCUUGGGAGAUCCAAUCUAGGAUACGGUGGCAGCAGGAGUUCUAUAUCUAGUCAGACCUCACAUGGGCUAUAUGGCAGUCGUCAGGGUAUGGGCUAUGGUGGAGGUGUGUUCUAAGUUGCUGCUGACUUGUUAAAAUAGAAAAAAGAGGGUUUCCUCCCGGAUGGGGUGGACAUAUUGUUGGUGUUUUCUGGUUUAACGACUUACAUUUGGUCUGGUUUUCAGGUUCUUUUAGCAGCAGUGAUGUUGGAGGAAUGUACUCAUCCUCUGGUUAUGGUGGUGAUUACAUACCUAGGGGAUCUGGUGUAUGUCCUUUUCCUUCUUUCUUUUGUUUGAUAUUUUAAAAAUUAUACAAGCCUAUAUUGAUGUUCUUUUUCUGCUUCCAUGGCAGGUUGGUGGUAGCUCUUACUCAUCCAUGUACUCCAGUCGUGGUAUGGGUGGUAGCAGUUACAUGGGUGGUGGGGGUGGUUCUGGGUCAUACUACUGAUGUAAGUUAAAUUGUUUUUAUCCCUUUUACUUUUCGUGUUGUACUUGUGGAUGUGUAAUAAUUAUCUUCUGCAGUAGUAUGCAUUUCUAAUGUAGAUUAGGCUUCCUGAAGAAGAUGGUUUAUAUGUUCUGAGAGGUGUAUUAGCAAUGUGAAUUUGUCCAUGUAACAGAUUUCGGAGACAGUGAGGCUUCUGUAGGGUGUGGAGCAUUCGAAGCUUUGGUUUUGGUACCCAUGGUAUUGGAUAGAAGCAUGCCUAGUGCUAUAGCCUCCAUACAUAGAAGUACAAGGUUUUGAGGCUUAAGUUCAAUGUGAAAGGCAGGGUGCUGGUUCAAACUGUUUCUAGUUUCAAGAUCAGGUUACUUGUGAUAGUGAGUUUUCAAGUUUAUGGUGUAAGGAAAACUAAUCUUACGUAGAGAUUAAACAGCAAGUGCUUAGAAUAUGCUGUAUAUGAACAAUAUUUACUUUUGUAUUUAAGAACCCUACCAAUGGAUAAUUUGGAAGCUUUUAUCACGAACUCUACUGGGCUGAGUAUUAGAGCGAGGAUUAAGUCAUUAAUUUACAUUUGGUUAUGGAUUUUGGAAACUUUGGCAUGCUGAACUCAACUGGUAAGUGUUGAUAAAAUAAGAAACAAGGAAUUAACAUCUUUCCUUAAGGGUGAUAAGCACUAAGAGACUAAUGGUACCUAUACCUGAAGAUUAUGUGAAAUCUUUAGAGGAUAUUCUUGUAUGCUUUUUUUGUACAAGCAUAUUGCAAUUCUUGGAAGUGGUGUUUGUGAAGCCGUAUACAUGCCAGGAGGAAAUUAAAGACUUACUUAACCUGAUCUGGUAAAGCUUGUACACUGUAGACACAUACUAACUUUUGUUUUGGCUUGAUUUUUCUAUGGGAAUUCCCCUAAGAUGAAAUGGACUUGAUUCUAGUACAGGAAAGGACAUGGCUUCUUCACCUAACAUGUUUUGACUUUGUGGUCACUGUUGCACUUUUUAGUUCUUUUUGUUGGUAUCUUUCUUGAGAAAAGUUUCGUGUGUUCAAUUUUUUCAUUUUUCUGGUCUUGGGUUGUCCUUGGCCUUGUGGUAUAUGCUUGGCAAAGAUUUUGAACUUUUUGCUUAUGGACCCAUAGGAAAGUAUCUGUUUUGUACUGAAGGACCACUUCCUAAUGUCACGGCGGCUGCUAUUUCUUUUCUGCCUUGUUAUUGUUUGAUGAAGCAACUCUUUAUGAAGCUGUGCUCUCCAACUUGAGUUAUAUGGAUUUUGGGGGAAUUUUCUGUUUCUCAUUAUGAAGCAUCAUGAAAUGGUUUAUAGUUGUUUUGGCAAGUUGUUGGUAAAUGAAACCCUUGUGGAGGCAGUGCCUUAUAAAUUGGGCUUAGAAGAGAAAUGAUUUUGGAAAAGUAGAAUUCUAAUUUGCUCAGAAAUCAAUGAAGCUGUGGGUUUUUAUGUCAGUGAUUUAAAAAAUGCUUUUUUAAGAAAACAUACUGAGCACAACCUUUAGUUGGAGUUAGAAUGUGUUGAAAUCAUUGACUUUUUCUAAAUUGUACUUGAGAAUAAGUGAGUUGCCUUCCCCCACCCAAGUAUUUUAGUGAAGUUAUAAGUUAAUAAGAUACACUUUGAACUUUAUGCUAGAGAAGUGUAAAAAGUAUGGUCUAACAAGAUGUAUAAUGUCAUGUCUACGGGGACUUCAUUAUGUUCAAUGAUAUUUGGUCCAUGGGUGGUUUAUUCUCAGUUCAAUGUGAAUAUUUAAGCAUAACGUCAUUUAAAGUAUUAAUGUAGGAUCAAAAUUGUUAGUUAACAGGUGAAUGGUUGGCUGGCUCUGCCACCGUUACUGAGCUCUUCAAAGUUAAAAACUUGAUUGAUAUGCUUGUUCCAUCUCGCUUGUGCCGGUGUUAAAAAUAUUAGCAGGACUGCUACUUGUUUAGCAACCCAGCGCUUUGACAUGAUACUGGUGCUAGUUUUUGUAGUUUUUUUAUUCAUGUUAUUUUGGUCUCAAAUCAACUUGCGGGAUAGUGCAACAAGAAGGCAACUAUGAUGCUGUAUAUGCUAUAUUGCCUGUGGUGUUUUUUCUGGCUUGCUUUUUUUCCCCCUUUGGAAAUUUAGUUACUUUGGCAAGUAUAUGGAUUUAUUGGUUGUAUCUGUGCUUGUUUCCGACUUUGGGGGUCAAAAUCUUAUCUGCUCUGGGGCUGGCCUGCGAAAAGGAGAGGAUUACAAGUUACUAAUUCAGUAAUAAAAUUAGGGGUGAGAGCGUAACUGCAUGCCUUCAUGAACAGACUAGGCAUAAGAAAGAGCAGGCAAUAACCGUUUUUGAUGAAUGGCAGAACUUCUAUGGUAUACAUUGGCUCGUGGGGCUUUGCUGAUAACAUUAGUGCACAACUCUGUUCCCCAACAUUUUCUUAUUAUUUAUCUCUACUUUUUUUUGCCCUUAUAUCAAGUGCUCUUUUGUCCCUUUCUUAAUUAUUUCCUGGACUUGAUUUUGAUGAUGGGUGCAGCAUGCCGAUAACUUGGUUUAGAAAUAUUAUUAUUGAUCCAUUGUUAUUAUCGCUGACUAAAUUCCAAAUAAUAGUAAACUACUAUCUAUCGCAUAUACGCUCAUGAAUGAUGACUGAUCGACAUAAGAUGUUUAAUGGCUUUGCAUCUGAAAGUGCUAAAAUUUAAUGUUAAGACUGACGAUUUCAUUCCAGUUAUAUGUGUCCGCGUGUAUGUUGUAUAUCCAUGCAAAUCGAUAUACUUUUCUUCACCGAAAUCGAUGUUUUAAAUCAACACAAUCUUUGCUUUUCUUUUAUACGAAAUCCUUUCACUGGUAGCUUUGAAUUCAUGGGACAGUGUUUUCUGGGAGUGUCUUUCAACAUGUCAUCACUAAUUAGUUUAUGAUGUUAAUGGCCGAAAGAAAUAAAAGGAAAAUAGUUACAAAUUUUAAAGGUAAACGAUUAUGUAAGUUUUUAGAAAUAUAAAGGUUAAAAAAGCCUCAUUUGGUCACUUCCAUUUUUGAUAUUAGUAUUUUAAACAAAUAAAUUAAUUGUUGUCAAUUUUGAAAGUAUUGAUUUCAGUAGUAUGUCCAUCAAAUGUCACAAGCAAGUGUUAUGUAGUAAAGAAGUCAAGCUAAUACCUAAAACCAGUAAACCUGUUAUUCCCCAUUGCCAGUAAAAUUGCUGAUGAAAUUGGAAAGGUUGCUGCCUUGAUACUUGGAUCGAGGAUAAUAUUUAUCUUCACAUUUUGUACUUGGACGAGGAAUAUCCGACUAGUCAAUUGUUGUCCGCGCAGUAGUAAUCUCUUUGUAAACAAGAUAUGACCAAGCCAACGAAGAGCAAAAGAAUGUACAGAAUAAACGGCGGCAAUUCUACCAUAGCAAGACAUUCCCCUGCUAGUUAAUAUCAAGGGGCAUGUAUAAGACUAUACAACAUCUCAGCUGCCGAUUCAACCAAUUCAUUCUGUUCUUCAUGGAACAUAUCACCUAUAAAACCCAAAAAUGUGUACUUAAUAGCAAGAAUCAAUGUGCGUGGAUGACUGACAAGUUCAUAGAAACAAAACCUAACAAUUGCACGUGCCAAAACAACUAGUAAUUUACUAAAGGCUCAAUCAGGUCUUUAUGGAUAACCAUCCCACUAAAUACAUUUUCAAGUGGCUCAUUGUUGAACCAUGCAAAGUUGAUUGUUCAUGAAUCUCUUCUAAAUUAGUUAAGAAUUCACUUGCUUUCGAUCAUUUGUUUUUAUCUUCUAAAAGGGAACAUUCAGAGACUGCAAAAUUAUAACAAUCAUACAAUUUUAAUGAGGAGAAUACGAAAGUAGCAUCACAUAGUAUUGUUGCUAAUCUUGACAAUUGAUAUGUAACAAAAAUGCUGCUUAACCAAUUACACGAACAACUAACUAUUUGUAUUGACAGUGACAUGACACUACCAAAUCAUGGAACCUCCCCUAUAUGUACCAAAUAUUGUUAAGUGAAUAUGUUGGAUAUAGGUGUUAUAUCUUAAUGUUUUAAACAUAUUUACUAGUUUAAAUAAAUUAUAUAAUUACAAAUACAAAUUUUCUCGUAUAAAGGAAUCAAGAAUCAUUAGAAAAAAAAACCUCCCUAUUGGACUAGAAGUCUCAAUGUGCCAAUGAUUAUUGCUUCUUGCUUCUUGCUUCUAUAUAUUUAGGUGGAUUAUUAUUUUAUUAUUUUAAUUUUUCAAGGGAUUCAAUGAAGCGAACUCAAUUACUAAUUUUUUAUGUUUUGUAAAUUCAUCAAGAAUUAGAUAUAGAACAAUUUUUUUUUAAUUUUAUAAAUCAAGUUAAAAAAUUAUCUUACAUAUUAUCUUAUAUUGUUUAUUUAAAUAGCGAAAGGAUGUGUGAUGAGGUUUUAAUGCAGAAAACUCAAUCAUUAAUUACAACAAAUGAUGAUAUUUUAUUUAUUGUUGAUUUUAUUGAUUUCUUGAUCCAUGAGAUCUAAUUUUAAUAAUUGCAAUAAUAAUAAUUAAGAAAAAUACAACAGUUUCUUAUUGUGGAAAUUCACUUCUUAAUUGUCCGUAAAUUUUCUUUUAAGAAAGUAUAAUAUGAAUUUACAAAAUUAAGCGGAAAUUUUUAUAAGAACUUGCAACGUUACUGCUUUCUUCUGAGGAAGAUUACGGUACCAUAACCGUGCCACGUAAGAUUAGACGGCGAGCGAGGAAAGAUCCUAUGCGGCUAUGCUUCAGCUUAUACCUUAAGAACCAAGCAAACAAAUCAUGUUAGAUGAGGUGGUAAUGUCAGCUGCUUCACUUCCAUGCUUUCCACGUGUCUUCGUCUCCCAAUAUAGUUUAUUCCCCCAAUAGAAACACCUCUGUCUCAUUAAACUGAUAAUAAAAUGUAAACUCAUUUAAUAAUAAUAAUAAUAAUAACAUAUCAACACUUCAAAAAAAUAUCAGCUUAAUAAAUUAAUAAUUUUUUAAUUUAUAUAAAGAGGGGUAGACUGUAGAACGUGUCUAGAAAUUAAAACCAAAACUUUGUUAAUCAUGAUUUUAUUCAAAUAAUGACCGUAAAUUUAAUUAACGACACAUUCACAAUAUAUAUAAUAAAUUUCGAAAUUUGAUAUAAUAUUUAAAUAUAAAUUUCAUUAAAAUAAUAAAGUUGAGAUUGUAAAUUAUAAUAUUUUGACUAUCAAUUUCAUCGCUUAUAAAUAGUUAUUUUUUUUAAAAUUUACAUGAACAUACAAAAUUAUCUUCAAUUAACAUCUAUUGAUGUAAUGUUUAAAAUUACUAAUAAUCUCUACCCAUCCUUAAAUAGGAGUAUAUUCAUACUACGGUACAUUAGAAUCUAUUUUCUCUUACUUUAAUAAUAUUACUACCAAUCAAGCUAAUAUUCAAUUAAUAUAAUUUUUUGUAACUUUAUAAUUUAACAUCUCAAUUAAAAUUGUAAUAUAAUAUAGAUAGAGAGAUUAAUAAUAUUACAAAUAAGAAUGGUAUGCAUCUAAAAUUUUUAUAUUUUAAAAAAUGAAAUUUUUUUUUAAACGUGACUCAAAUUUCUGAUUUUUUUAUAAAAAUAAUAUUAAAAAUACAAAAUGGCAUGGGACAUAAAUUAAUUUUUUAUUAGUGCCAUGACUAUAUCAAGCGAUAUUGAUAUGUAUUUUUAAAAAAUAUCAAUAUUUUUAUGAAUAUACAUAUUAAAAAACAAAAAAGAAAAUUGCUGAAAAAAAUCAGCUGAAAACAAGAAAAUGAAAAAAAGAACAAAAAAAAGCUCGACAAACCAACUAAUGUUUUGUUUCACUGUGAGGGAAUUAAAUUAAAAGACAAACUUUGGGAAGUGAAACUAACAGACUAGCUACCGAUUUGUUUUAUUGUUAGGGGAAUUAAAUUAAAAAGAAAUUUUAGGAAGUGAAAUUAACCAUAAAUAACUAUAACUAUAAUAAACACAAAAACAAUUUCGGGUGGAGAAAAUUAAAUUAAAAAUAUGUAUUUUAAAAAAUUAAAAAAAAAUAUUUUCAGGCAACACCGAUAAAAAAAAAACUUCAACAGCUUUUUUUUUUUCUCUAUAUUAAAGAAGAACAGACCACAUUUUUCUCUCUAUUAUUUUUUCAAAAUAACGACCUAUAUAUAUAAAAUAUUAAACGAUGACAUAGUCCGUGCGCGCGCAUAUAUAUCUAAAUAAACCCGGAGACCAACCUCAAACCGUGUAUUAAAUUCACCCUAGAACCAAAUUUCCAAAACAAAAUUCACGUCUUUUUCCUCUUUGUCACUCUCUCUAUUCCCCCCAUGUCAUUCGCAUACUUAGGGUUAGGGUUUUUAUUGUGAUUUUAGAUAUUUCCUUAUUUACUUCUCUUCAAGUUAGAUAUUUAAUUUGGAUUCCGUUUCGACUUAUCUAGGAGUUCUCAUCAAUCCGUGGGUUUUAAUUUUUUUUCUUUGUUCUAUCGGAAGUUUCAAUUAUCCCUUUUUCCUUUAUCGAAUUCUGAUAUUUCAGUCGUUAGGUUUCUAAACAAUGCCUCCUAGAACCGUGAAGAGAGGAGCCGGGGCCGGUGGUCCAAAGAGAACGCCGAGGUCCACUAGAGGGGCAUCCAAAUCCGAGAAUCCACCAGCGGAGCCUGUACAAGAGGCCGUGAAUACAAAGGAGGCUUCAGUUCCAGUUGAGGAGCUCGUGGAGGCCGUUAAGGCCGUUGAGAAACCAACUCCGGAGCAAAAAUUGGUGAUCGUGGAGAAAGGGGCUGUUGAGGAGGAAAACACCGGUUUAAAUUUGAAUUCCAAUGGGUCGGUUGCGAUGAAGAGUAAGUCUUUUGUUUGCUUUUGGUUCAUCUGAUUUGCUUUCAAUCUGAUGGAUUUGGGCAUCUGCAAGUUUGAAAAUUAUAUGGCACGUCGCCAUUAUACAAACCUGUAGCUUUUAUUGUAGUUUUGUGGGCUAUUCCUGGAAUUUAGCAUGUUAUAAAGUGUCUGUUUUCCGUUGGAUCAUAUAUGGUAUCACAUAAACGUAUCCUUGUCCAUUUAUUUCCCUUUCCGAGAAUUUACAAGGUUCACAAUCAUUAUCUUUACGAGAAUUUGGUUUGUUGAGAUAUUUUUGUCUCUAUUAGAAUUUCGUAUCAAUUGCUUUAAGGUGAUUGCUUCUUGGCUGGCCUUGAUUAUUCUAUCCCUUCUUUGUCGCAGAAGAGAAUGACUCUAAGGAGCCUAUUGAGGAGUAUGGAAAAGAUGAGAGGUUAGAAUUGGAUGAUAAUGAACCUGAAUAUGAAGCUGAAGAAUAUGGUGGGGUGGAUUAUGACGAGAAGGAGAUGGAUCCUGAUGAAGUGGAAGAUGAAGUAGAGGAAGUGAUUGAGGAGGAGCAGG
rnacentral:lncRNA from 1 species